rnacentral:rRNA from 1 species
CCUACGGGAGACAGCAGUGAGGAAUAUUGGUCAAUGGACGAGAGUCUGAACCAGCCAAGUCGCGUGAAGGAUGACUGCCCUAUGGGUUGUAAACUUCUUUUAUAUGGGAAUAAGACGUUCCACGUGUGGGAUUUUGUAUGUACCAUAUGAAUAAGGAUCGGCUAACUCCGUGCCAGCACCCGCGGUAAUACGGAGGAUACGAGCGUUAUCCGGAUUUAUUGGGUUUAAAGGGAGCGUAGGUGGAUUGUUAAGUCAGUUGUGAAAGUUUGCGGCUCAACGGUAAAAUUGCAGUUGAAACUGGCAGUCUUGAGUACAGUAGAGGUGGGCGGAAUUCGUGGUGUAGCGGUGAAAUGCUUAGAUAUCACGAAGAACUCCGAUUGCGAAGGCAGUUCACUGGACUGCAACUGACACUGAGGCUCGAAAGUGUGGGUAGCAAACAGGAUUAGAUACCCCUGUAGUC